rnacentral:rRNA from 1 species
UACGUAGGGGGCAAGCGUUGUCCGGAUUUAUUGGGCGUAAAGAGCGUGUAGGCGGUUGGGUAGGUCCGUUGUGAAAACUCGAGGCUCAACCUCGAGACGCCGAUGGAAACCAUCUAGCUAGAGUCCGGAAGAGGAGAGUGGAAUUCCUGGUGUAGCGGUGGAAUGCGCAGAUAUCAGGAGGAACACCAAUAGCGAAGGCAGCUCGCUGGGACGGUACUGACACUGAGGCGCGAAAGCGUGGGGAGCGAACAGG